AUCCAACUGAAGAGUCCUAACUAGGACGAAACGUGAAUCCUGAAU
rnacentral:hammerhead_ribozyme from 1 species